rnacentral:rRNA from 1 species
GACGAACGCUGGCGGCGUGCUUAACACAUGCAAGUGGAGCGACGAAGCGGACUUCGGUCCGUGGCAGAGCCGCGAACGGGUGAGUAACACGUGGGUAACCCACCCCAAUGACCGGGACAACCCGAGGAAACUCGAGCUAAUACCGGAUGUUCUCUUUCCUCAUAAGGGGAUCGAGCAAAGAUAGCUUCGGCCUUCGCAUUGGGACGGGCCCGCGGCCCAUUAGCUUGUUGGUGAGGUAACGGCUUACCAAGGCGACGAUGGGUAGCUGGUCUGAGAGGACGAUCAGCCACACUGGGACUGAGACACGGCCCAGACUCCUACGGGAGGCAGCAGUGGGGAAUCUUGCGCAAUGCGCGAAAGCGUGACGCAGCAACGCCGCGUGGGGGAAGAAGGCCUUCGGGUUGUAAACCCCUUUCAGUUGGGACGAAGCUUCCAGUGUUAAUAGCGCUGUGGAGUGACGGUACCUUCACAAGAAGCCCCGGCUAACUACGUGCCAGCCGCCGCCGUAAAAC